rnacentral:piRNA from 5 species
GGUGUAUGUGCUUGGCUGAGGAG